ACGGGAGGCAGCAGUGAGGAAUAUUGGUCAAUGGGCGGAAGCCUGAACCAGCCAAGUCGCGUGAAGGAUGAAGGUAUUAUGUAUUGUAAACUUCUUUAGCUGUGGAGCAAUAAUCUCCAUGUAUGGAGAGAUGAGAGUACACAGAGAAUAAGGAUCGGCUAACUCCGUGCCAGCAGCCGCGGUAAUACGGAGGAUCCGAGCGUUAUCCGGAUUUAUUGGGUUUAAAGGGUGCGCAGGCGGCUUUCUAAGUCAGGGGUCAAAUCGUGGUGCUCAACGCCAUCCCGCCAUUGAUACUGGAGAGCUUGAUUGCGGUCGAGGUUUGCGGAAUUCGUCGUGUAGCGGUGAAAUGCAUAGAUAUGACGAAGAACACCGAUUGCGUAGGCAGCAGACCAGGCCGUAAAUGACGCUCAUGCACGAAAGUGCGGGGAUCGAACAGGAUUAGAUACCCUGGUA
rnacentral:rRNA from 1 species